UACAGAGGUCUCAAGCGUUGUUCGGAUUCAUUGGGCGUAAAGGGUGCGUAGGUGGCGCCGUAAGUCAGGUGUGAAAUUUCGGAGCUUAACUCCGAAACUGCAUUUGAUACUGCGGUGCUUGAGGACUGGAGAGGAGACUGGAAUUUACGGUGUAGCAGUGAAAAUGCGUAGAGAUCGUAAGGAAGACCAGUGGCGAAGGCGGGUCUCUGGACGAG
rnacentral:rRNA from 1 species